CACGCACAUCUCAACAGCCACGGAUGGUGCCACCUCCGUCCAACGCCGCUGGCCUACCUCGAUCUUCUCCAUCGCCUGCUACGGUCGACACAGCCCCGCCCCCAUCUUCUCAGGUGUCUGCCAUGGUCGACGCCGGCCUGCCCCAAUCUUCACAGGCGCAUGCCAUGGUCGACGCCGACCUACCUCGAUCUUCUACCACGCCUGCCAUGGUCGACACAGCACGACCCCAAUCUUCUCCGCCGCAUGCCAUGGUUGACGCCAACUCGCCUCGAUCCUGUAGCUGUGAUGCGAUGGUUCACGCCGACCUACCUCAAUCUUCUACCUGUGAUGCCAUGAUUGACAUUGAUCCGCCCCAAACGAGCAUAGCCCCAUGGGUCCUGACCCCAUCAAGCACAACCACAUGGAUCCCGUCCGCAGGAACCACACAUCUCAUUUCAACUUUUGGAACACCUAAAAAGAAUACAGUCAUGUCCCCCUUGAUGUAUGCUACUCAUGUUCCUGAAGUACAUGAAUCUAUGAAGCCAUUUGUUGGACAAAUUUUUGAAAGAUUGCAAGAUGCAGAGGAUUUUUAUAGAAGAUAUGCAAAAGAGGCUCGUUUUGGAGUUCGUAUUGGUCCACAUACAGAUUUGAAUGGUGUUAGAAGAUGGCAAAGAUGGUUCUGUUCUAAACAGGGAUAUAGGUCUGAGAAAAAGGUAGACAGCAAACCGAAACGUAUUCAAAAGAUUUCUAGGUGUGGUUGUGAAGCAGUUCUAGCUGUCAAGGUGAUUGAAGAUAAUAAGUUUCGGGUGGAGAUAUUUGUGGAAUCACAUACACAUAGUCUUGUUUCACCAGACAAGGUCCACUUGAUUAGGUCGAACAGAGAAGUUAAUGAGAAGGCUAAGCGUGCAUUAGUGGCAUGCCACAAGGGAGGCAUCGGUACAAGUGGGGCAUACAGAUAUCUUCGUAUUAGCGAAGGUGGAUUUGAGAAUGUGGGGUGCAACAAGAAGGAUUUGCAAAACUAUCAUAAGCAGUUGAGAAGUUGUAUCACAUCAUCAGAUGCUCAAAUGUUCAUUGACAACGUUGCCUCAAAAAAUGAAUUAAAUCCUACAUUUUAUUGUGACUAUGUGGUUGAUGAAAAGGGAAGGCUUGUACAUGUUUUUUGGGCAGAUCCCACAUGCAGAAAGAAUUUCUCACAUUUCGGUGAUCUUCUCUCAUUUGAUUCAACAUACAACACCAACCACUACAACAUGAUAUUCACACCAUUCACAGAUCAGUUUGUUUUGAAGAGAUGGACUAAACUAGUGACUAAGGAUGAUGUCUUCGAUGGAGAGGGAAACAUGUUGAAAGAAGUUCCAAAGGAUGCUGUAGAAACAACUAAUGCAAAGUUGGCAUCUCAAAUUAGAAGCAAGAUUGAAGAAUUAAUUUACCGUGAUGAAGGAUCAAACAAUGGGUUACAAACACUUCGGGAUAGUAUUGUUGCAUUUGGUGAAGAUCUUUCCAUAUUGCUACCGGAGAGAAUGACAAGUCAAGUUCAAGAGAUCGAGUCCUUUGUUGGUUGUUCAAUCCCUAGCCAUGUUAUUAUACAGCCACCUAAUGAAGUCAAAUCUGUGGGUAGGUGCAAAUGAAUAAAACCUGGUCAGAAAGUAAAGAAGCUCGGUGACAAUGUGGAGAAGAAACAGAAAGUUCCUCGUAUGUGCAGGUGUUGCAAGCAAGUAGACUAUCAUGAUGCUCGAAAUUGUCCUUUAAAGAAUAAUCCAACCCAGUGAUGAAUAUCAUGUUCAUAGAUCAAGAGUCAUCAGCUAGCACAGUUCAGAGCCCAGGGAUGAAUAUCAUGUUCAUGUGCAUAUAUGGGUAAAAUAGAACGCUGAUGAGUUCAGAUAGCAGUCCUCUGGUUCAGAUAGCACAUUGUACAGAUGGAAUUUAGGCCAUGUAAAGUUGUGUUUUUUGAACUACUGUAGCAACUCAUCAGGCGCUCAAAAAAUGACAGCCCUGAAUCUUUGUACAUGGUUGCUUGCUUGAGAUAUUGAUUCUGCAAUAUAUGUUUUCAAAACUUCAUUUUUUUUCUUAAAAAAUAUUCAUCAGUUGAGAAUAUGAAAGGAUUCCUUCAAAAAUACUUGUGUAUCAAGCAUCUGAUGAUCCUGUAUAUAGUGGGUACAGGGUAGCUGUUGAUGCAUCAGCAUAGGAAGAAACCGUGCUUGGCUUUGCUAUAUGGGAGCCAUCCCAUGGGCCUUACAAAACAAUGAACUAUCCUUGGAGGAGCUUCACCAAAGUUAGUGGAGCAUUGAGGCACUGUUCCUUUGCUGUAAUGGCAUUACAUGGUUGCAUUCUUUCAGAAAUUCAGGCACCACCAGAAAGCAGAAGAGUAUUUUCUGCAGAGAUUCAAAGAGUGGGACAGGAAGGAGCUAAAGUAUUGCGUGAGCUUGGAAGCAGAGUUAAGACAAUGACCAAGCUGAGUUCUUCAGGUAUUCUGUUCGAAGUGCACAUGGCAGCUGAAGAGCUGCAAAAAAAGAUUGAUGAGAAGUCAUAUCUUCUGGUGAACACUAAAAGAUGGGAUGCUAGCAAGCAAGCUCAAGGAAUCAAAGAAGUUGUAAAUGGUACCCGUGCUGUGGAAACGGAAAACAAGAACAAAGAAAACAAGGAUGAUGGCA
rnacentral:misc_RNA from 1 species